AUUGAACGCUGGCGGCAGGCCUAACACAUGCAAGUCGAGCGGAGCGGCGGACGGGUGCGUAAUGCCUGGGAAUCUGCCUGGUAGUGGGGGCUAACGUCCGGAAACGGGCGCUAAUACUGCAUACUCUCAGAUGAGCCUAGGUCGGAUUAGCUGGUUGGUGGGGUAAAGGCCUACCAAGGCGACGAUCCGUAACUGGUCUGAGAGGAUGAUCAGUCACACUGGGACUGAGACACGGCCCAGACUCCUACGGGAGGCAGCAGUGGGGAAUAUUGGACAAUGGGCGAAAGCCUGAUCCAGCCAUGCCGCGUGUGUGAAGAAGGUCUUCGGGUUGUAAAGUACUUUAAGUUGGGAGGCGUUACCAACAGAAUAAGCACCGGCUAACUACGUGCCAGCAGCCGCGGUAAUUC
rnacentral:rRNA from 1 species